AUUUAAAUAAAUACCACAUGAGGUUGAUAUAUUUUUUGCUUAAAUGCGACGUUGGCGUUUAUAUAGUUUUCGCAGUAGGAGACACUCAUGUCGUGGAAGUAAUUUGUUUUUAGAAUCUUUUAAUACAAUGCGAUUUACUAGAAUUUGACAAAAUUUCAAUAAUUGAAACUUGAAUGCUAAGGGUCACUUCUCGGCGGUUUGCGUGUGGCUCGGUAUUUUGAACAAUUUUUGCAAAACUAUGGUAAAUGUUAUUAUGUAGUUUUUUGGCGUAUAAUAUUAUUAGAGACCCUAAUACUAUUUGUUUACAGUUCUGACUGAAUUUUUAAUCAUCAUAGCAUAAUAACACAGCGAAGAAGCUCAUCCCCACACGUAAACCCGUAAGAACUUCUAGGCCCGAUUAAACUUCAGAUAAAUUUUAUCUCUCAGUUAGUUGCUACGGUAGUGCAUAUCUGAUUGGCGUUGCUAUGUUUUAACCGAGGUUUAAAUUUAUUUCUUCGUUAAAUAUGUUUCCAGAAAAUGGACCAAAUGUGAACUUUGGAAUAAACUACAGGAUGCUCAAAAAUUGGCACACCAACUCAGUGGAAAAUGGAAUUAGGAAAGGUCAUACUAUAACAAAAAGUAAUUUGUACUUAAAAAUGUAUUAUACAUAAAAUAAUUAUUCACUAAACAUGCCAUACUCGUGACCACUCAACUUCUCGUGUUGUGUAAUUACUAGAAAACACAAAGCUUUAAAUCUUAUAGAUCACCUUAUAAAAACUGAAAUGAAUAUGAUACUGUAAUGGAAAUAAAACACUCAUGAAUCUAUUUGGAAAAAAUCUUCUAAUACGGCCUGGAACGUCCUCCAUCGCGA